AUGGACGCGACGAGGGACACAACGCAGUCCUGCUCCGGCGGCCAGGCGGCGCUCGCUGCCAGCCUCGCGAGUCGCCUCGCCGACGACAACGCGGACAGCAACCUGGUGCUCUCGCCGCUGUCCAUCUACGCGGCGCUCGCGCUCCUGGCCGCCGGCGCGCGGGGCGCCACCCUUGACGAGAUCCUGGGCGUCCUCGGCGCGCCGUCUCGCGCCGCGCUCGACGAGUUCCUCUCCCGCGUGGCGGAGGACGCGCUCAAAGACCACUCCGAGUCCGGCGGGCCGCGCGUCGCGUUUGCGUAUGGCGUGUGGACCGACCUCGCGUGCCCGCUGAAGCCAGCCUACCGCCACGCCGCCGUGAGCACGUACAAGGCCGAUGCCAGCACUGUCGACUUCCGCAACAAUCCCGAGGCGGCACGGAGUCAGAUCAACGCGUGGGUCGCGCAGGUCACGAGUAACCUGAUCCGCUCCGUCCUUCGCCCGGGAUCCAUAACGCCGCUCACCCGCGUCGUGCUCGGCAACGCCAUUUACUUCAAGGGCAAGUGGGAGAAGCCCUUCGACAAGGAGGACACCGCCAACAAACCCUUCCACCGGCUCGACGGCCGCACCGUCGACGUGCCCUUCAUGAAGAGCUGGAGUUCCCAGUACAUCGCCGUGCACGAUGGGUUCAAGGUGCUCAAACUCCGGUACCGAAUGGCUCAAGCGCAAGGUAAUCCGUUUGUCCAUUCACAGUCUCGAUCCUUUCAUUCGCGGUUCCUGCACAAGCACCUGCCCAAGGAGAAGAUCGACGUUAGGAAGUUCCGGGUGCCCAAGUUCAAGCUGUCCUUCCACAACAGCCUCGUCACCGUUCUCAAGAAGCUGGGGCUUCAGUUGCCGUUCAGCGACCAAGCCGACCUGUCCGACAUGGUCGAAAUGCCAUUUGUCCUGAGUGACGUUAUCCACAAGGCGGUCAUCGAGGUAAACGAGGAAGGCACCGAAGCUGCAGCCUCCACAUUGAUGCAUAUUGGAGCUGGAUGUUGUGCAAUGCCGCCAUCCCCACCUCCUCCGGUGGAUUUCGUAGCUGACCAUCCGUUUGCGUACUUUAUAGUGGAGGAGGCGACUGGCAUAGUUGUCUUUGCGGGACACGUCGUCGACCCUUCUAACAAGGACUAG
rnacentral:rRNA from 1 species